rnacentral:rRNA from 1 species
UACGUAGGGGGCUAGCGUUGUCCGGAUUUAUUGGGCGUAAAGAGCGUGUAGGCGGCCAGGUAGGUCUGCUGUGAAAACUCGAGGCUCAACUUCGAGACGUCGGCGGAAACCAUCUGGCUAGAGUCCGGAAGAGGAGAGUGGAACUCCUGGUGUAGCGGUGAAAUGCGCAGAUAUCAGGAAGAACACCCGUGGCGAAGGCGGCUCUCUGGGACGGUACUGACGCUGAGACGCGAAAGCGUGGGGAGCGAACAGG